AACAUAUCUUCUCUAAACCCUCACUUUCUUUUGAAAAGUUGCAGCCGCAUACAAGCCCCUUCCACCUUCUCUGCAAUUCUUUUUAGAAAACCCUAGUUCACACAAGUUUCAGUCAAUAUCUUUCCACUUCUCUACAUUUUUGAAGAAUCCUUCACACCUACAACUCACCAGACACCCCUCUGUCUUCACGCAAGCUCCGGCAGCCGGAGCCAAACUCCGGCGACCCGUGAUUUCUGAUGAGGUUACACCACUCACAACCCCCCCCGGUCGCUUAUGCACAUCCGACAAACCACAGGGAGCCGACGACAACAGUGUGGCCGACCACCACACCUCGGUGGCGGCGGCGACGAGUGAGACCGAAGAGAGAGACAGAGAGCGAGUCCAGAGAGAGAGAUGGAUGGAUGGCGAACCGGUGAUGGCACCGCCGCUCACGGCGUCAGAGAUUGAGGAUUUUGACGGUGACCGGCGGCGACUGUGAUCCCAAUGGCGGCGGACGGAGCCUCGGUCCGAUGGGUUUGACGGGUGCAGCCGCUGAUGUUCUGGUUGUGAAUCAGUUGUUAAUUUCGGGUCCGGGUUUUGGUUCGGAUUUAAUUCAGUCUAUGCAGAUGUGAUGUUGGUCCAUGUUUCGGGUUCGGUACGGUCAGGCGGUUCGGGUGACUCAAACGAGUCAACUCGGUCGGCGAGUCAACUCGGGCGGAUGAGUUAACUUGGUUCGGUUCAGGUUUGGUUACGUUUCGAAUCUGAGUAAAACAUACUUCAGAUUUUACUCGGUUCUGACCUCUUAUUUUCGAUUCAGGUUCGGGUCAACAUAAGUCAACAACGGUCAACAGUUCUGAUUGACUCGGUCAACUGAGGUCAAACUCAGUCAACACGAGACGCGGUAAAGUUUUAGUGACGCGGAAAUUAGUUUAGAUUUUUAGUAUAGUUAUACGCGACCGAGCUCGACCCAAUUCAACUAGAUACUAGCUUACGUUUUGGUAUAUUGGAUGAGAAAUUCUUAUAUAUAAUGUUUAGUGAUUGAAUUAUUGUUGAGUUUUGAUAAAAAUACGACAACUUUCAUUUGUCGGGUUA